CGGCCUCCCAAAGUGCUGGGAUUACAAGUGUGAGCCACCGCGCCCGGCCUGAAGUUUCAUCUCAUACAUUCAUCCCUUCUCCAAGUCAAGGUGCCUGGGACCAGGCAAUUUCAAGUUACUCGGGAGAAGAAAAAGUCUAGAAGAGACCUGGUGAUGGUCCAAAAAGAUCUGGGGAGCACAUGGGACAGCAGCAAAAGGAGCAGCAGAAGAGCAGGCUGCCAGAGGAUGUCUUCUGCAGAGGAGCCUGUGCAC
rnacentral:lncRNA from 1 species